rnacentral:rRNA from 1 species
ACGAACGCUGGCGGCGUGCCUAAUACAUGCAAGUAGAACGCUGAAGAGAGGAGCUUGCUCUUCUUGGAUGAGUUGCGAACGGGUGAGUAACGCGUAGGUAACCUGCCUUGUAGCGGGGGAUAACUAUUGGAAACGAUAGCUAAUACCGCAUAACAAUGGAUGACACAUGUCAUUUAUUUGAAAGGGGCAAUUGCUCCACUACAAGAUGGACCUGCGUUGUAUUAGCUAGUAGGUGAGGUAACGGCUCACCUAGGCGACGAUACAUAGCCGACCUGAGAGGGUGAUCGGCCACACUGGGACUGAGACACGGCCCAGACUCCUACGGGAGGCAGCAGUAGGGAAUCUUCGGCAAUGGGGGCAACCCUGACCGAGCAACGCCGCGUGAGUGAAGAAGGUUUUCGGAUCGUAAAGCUCUGUUGUAAGUCAAGAACGAGUGUGAGAGUGGAAAGUUCACACUGUGACGGUAGCUUACCAGAAAGGGACGGCUAACUACGUGCCAGCAGCCGCGGUAAUACGUAGGUCCCGAGCGUUGUCCGGAUUUAUUGGGCGUAAAGCGAGCGCAGGCGGUUUGAUAAGUCUGAAGUUAAAGGCUGUGGCUCAACCAUAGUUCGCUUUGGAAACUGUCAAACUUGAGUGCAGAAGGGGAGAGUGGAAUUCCAUGUGUAGCGGUGAAAUGCGUAGAUAUAUGGAGGAACACCGGUGGCGAAAGCGGCUCUCUGGUCUGUAACUGACGCUGAGGCUCGAAAGCGUGGGGAGCGAACAGGAUUAGAUACCCUGGUAGUCCACGCCGUAAACGAUGAGUGCUAGGUGUUGGAUCCUUUCCGGGAUUCAGUGCCGCAGCUAACGCAUUAAGCACUCCGCCUGGGGAGUACGACCGCAAGGUUGAAACUCAAAGGAAUUGACGGGGGCCCGCACAAGCGGUGGAGCAUGUGGUUUAAUUCGAAGCAACGCGAAGAACCUUACCUGCUCUUGACAUCCCGCUGACCGGACGGUAAUGCGUCCUUCCCUUCGGGGCAGCGGAGACAGGUGGUGCAUGGUUGUCGUCAGCUCGUGUCGUGAGAUGUUGGGUUAAGUCCCGCAACGAGCGCAACCCCUAUUGUUAGUUGCCAUCAUUCAGUUGGGCACUCUAGCGAGACUGCCGGUAAUAAACCGGAGGAAGGUGGGGAUGACGUCAAAUCAUCAUGCCCCUUAUGACCUGGGCUACACACGUGCUACAAUGGUUGGUACAACGAGUUGCGAGUCGGUGACGGCAAGCUAAUCUCUUAAAGCCAAUCUCAGUUCGGAUUGUAGGCUGCAACUCGCCUACAUGAAGUCGGAAUCGCUAGUAAUCGCGGAUCAGCACGCCGCGGUGAAUACGUUCCCGGGCCUUGUACACACCGCCCGUCACACCACGAGAGUUUGUAACACCCGAAGUCGGUGAGGUAACCUUUUGGAGCCAGCCGCCUAAGGUGGGAUAGAUGAUUGGGGUG